UGGGGUGUAGCCAAGCGGUAAGGCAGCGGAUUUUGAUUCCGCCAUGCGGAGGUUCGAAUCCUCCCACCCCAG
rfam:Gluconobacter oxydans 621H, complete genome.